rnacentral:ncRNA from 1 species
UGAGAGUUUUAUUUAAGUUUAUUAAAUAAAUUUAUAAAUUAAAUUUUUAUGUUAAUUUUUGUGUUUAAUUUUUAUUUUUUAAAUAAGAAUAAAUUUAAAUUUAUUUUCAGUAUUUAGUAUUAAAAAUUUAAGAAAUUAUUAUUUAGAUAUUUAUAAGAGUAUUAACAAAAUUUGUGCCAGCAGUUGCGGUUAUACAAAUAAUAUAAUUUAUUUUUAUUAAUAAGUAAUUAAAUUAUUAUGAUUAAUUUAAAUGAUAGUUUAUUAGGUGAAAUUUUAAAUUAUUAAAUAAUUAUUUAUUAGAUUUUGAAGUUAUUAAUUUUUUUUAAAAACUAGGAUUAGAUACCCUAUUAUUAAAAUGUAAAAAUAAUAUAUUAAAUUAUUAAUAGUUAUAUUCUUAAAAAUUAAAAAUUUUGGCGGUAUUUUAAUCUAUUCAGAGGAACCUGUUCUAUAAUUGAAAAUCCACGAUUAGAAUUACUUAUUUUAAUAAUUUAUAUAUCGUCGUAGUUGAAUAUUUUAUAAGAAUUUAAAUAUUCAAAAUUUUUAAUUUAAAAAUUAAAUCAGAUCAAGGUGUAGUUUAUAAAUAAGAAGAAAUGGGUUACAAAAAAAUUUAUUUUUGGAUAAUUAUUUUAAAAAUAAUUUGAAAUUGGAUUUGAAAGUAAUUAAAUUUAUUUAGGUUUAAUGAUUUUAGUUCUAAAAUAUGCACAUAUCGCCCGUCGCUUUCAUUUAAGUUGAAAUAAGUCGUAACAAAGUAAAUGUACUGGAAAGUGUAUUUAGAUAG